rnacentral:lncRNA from 1 species
AAAAUUGUGGUGACAAUAGUAAUAUCCUAUAUAUAUAUAUAUAUAUAUAUACAUUUAGAUAAUUAAAAUAAGUCAUUCUUAAUUCUUUAAAAAUAUAAUAGUUUUAUGAUUGCAACAUAGUUUUAAUUUUGAAGCAAUCUUAAUUCAUAAUAUAAUUUUGAGUUUUAUUGUAUACUAAUUUAAUGUAUUUAUGUAGUAAAAUUUGUUUUUAUUUUUAAAAAAUUAAUUGGUGCAAUGAAAUAAAGGCCUUUAAAAAAAUAGAUUAGAAUUUUAAUAAUGAAUAUGUAUGUGUGUGUAUGUAUGUAUAUGUAUAUAUUCACUUGUUUGUCUUUGUUAUUUUAUGAUUUGUGAAUUAUAAGAUUCCAAUAAACUUAAUCAUAUAUCUCAAUUUUAUCUUAACAAUUACAAUUUGUAAACCGAAAAGACAAGAAACAAAAAUAAAAAAUGAAAAUGAAAUUAAUGAACUACACUUUUUAAACUAUCUUUGAAAUUUUUUCUUCUCAGAAUAAGAAUUGAACUUAGGUAUGAUAAAUUCAAAGUACGUAUGAAAUGUGCUUAAUGUCUAUUUACUUUAAAAACUACCACGAGAAAGAAUAUGACAAGAAAUGAUAAAUUUUCAACUGAUCAUUUUUGAGUAACAGAAAAUUAAUUUUUAGUAUUUGUGGUUUAUCUAACAUUAUCAUAAGUAUUCAAAUCCAACUGUAUUGAUGGUUGGCUGCCAUGCUUCAAAACUUCUGAAAUAGUCUAUUACAUUCAUGAAGAAUAUAAGAUACUGUAAUAUUAUAAAAUUUUAAACCCUUAUAUUUUUAUUCAUUAUAAGAAUAAUAAACUUUGAUAAAAUUGUUGUGUAUCAUAUGUUAACGUGGAUUUAAAAAAAUAUAUUUUUUCAAUAUGAAUUUGUUUUAACACAAGUUUAUAUCAUUGGGAAAAGAAGUUCAUUUUAGCGAGUUGACGACAGUAUUUGUUGAAGUCAAAUGAAGACAUGCAGAUAUUGUCUGGCGACAAAGGAAAGUAUAUCAAAUUUGCCACGUGACCAAAAAGUACCUUAAAAGACUAUGAAAAAAACAUGAAAUUUUAAUU